GGUUACCUGCUUUGCGCGUGAUGGUCGCACCGGAGAUUGAGCCAACACCUACAAAAUUGGGCGUCUAAAUCAAAGGGAGGAUGCAGUAGGCAUUGCGGAUGCCAAAGCUGAACCCCAAUGUGGACAGCCCCACCUGCAAUAUGCAGGUUCAAAUCACGGCACCACACGGCAGGGCGGGUCUCGA
rnacentral:other from 1 species